rnacentral:rRNA from 1 species
AGCAGCCGCGGUAAUUCCAGCUCCAAUAGCGUAUAUUAAAGUUGUUGCAGUUAAAAAGCUCGUAGUUGAAUUUCGGGAUCAAUUUAUCGGUCGUGCCAAUGGUAUGAACUGGUACAAUUGGUUUCUCCCUUCUGACGAAGCAUGAUGCCAUUAAUUUGGUGUCGUGGGGAAUCAGGACUGUUACUUUGAAAAAUUAGAGUGUUUAAAGCAAGCAUUAGCUUGAAUACAUUAGCAUGGAAUAAUGAAAUAGGACGUUUGAUCCUAUUUCGUUGGUUCUAGGAUCGACGUAAUGAUUAAUAGGGAUAGUUGGGGGCAUUAGUAUUCAAUUGUCAGAGGUGAAAUUCUUGGAUUUAUUGAAGACUAACUACUGCGAAAGCAUUUGCCAAGGAUGUUU